CCUACGGGUGGCAGCAGUGAGGAAUAUUGGUCAAUGGACGAGAGUCUGAACCAGCCAAGCCGCGUGAAGGAUGACGGCCCUAUGGGUUGUAAACUUCUUUUAUAUGGGAAUAAAAUGCUCUACGUGUCGCUGUCUGUAUGUAUCAUAUGAAUAAGGAUCGGCUAACUCCGUGCCAGCAGCCGCGGUAAUACGGAGGAUCCGAGCGUUAUCCGGAUUUAUUGGGUUUAAAGGGCGCGUAGGCGGUUUGGUAAGUCCAGCGGGAAAUUUGGGGGCCCAACCGUAGAAUUGCAGUUGAAACUGGCAGGCUUGAGUAGAGUAGAGGUACGCGGAAUGCGGGGUGUAGCGGUGAAAUGCUUAGAUAUCACGCAGAACUCCGAUUGCGAAGGCAGUUUACUGGCGUCAGACUGACACUGAGGCACGAAAGUGUGGGUAUCAAACAGGAUUAGAUACCCGUGUAGUC
rnacentral:rRNA from 1 species